GAUCCUGGCUCAGGAUGAACGCUAGCGGCAGGCUUAACACAUGCAAGUCGAGGGGCAGCAUAAAUGGUAGUAAUACUAUUGAUGGCGACCGGCGGACGGGUGCGUAACGCGUAUGCAACCUACCCUUUACAGGGGGAUAACACUGAGAAAUCGGUACUAAUACCCCAUAAUAUUCUGGGAGGCAUCUUUCGGAGUUGAAAGCUUUGGUGGUAAAGGAGUGGGCAUGCGUUGUAUUAGCUAGUUGGUAAGGUAACCGG
rnacentral:rRNA from 1 species